ACGGCUCAGUAACACGUGGAUAACCUACCCUCAGGUGGGGGAUAACCCCGGAAAACUGGGGAUAAUACCCCAUAGAUCAGGGACGCUGGAAUGCCUCCUGGUCGAAAGGUGAGCCGCCUGAGGAUGGGUCUGCGGCCGAUUAGGUUGUUGUUGGGGUAACGGCCCAACAAGCCUGUAAUCGGUACGGGUUGUGGGAGCAAGAGCCCGGAGAUGGAUUCUGAGACACGAAUCCGGGCCCUACGGGGCGCAGCAGGCGCGAAAACUUUACAAUGCGGGAAACCGUGAUAAGGGAACUCUGAGUGCCCGUAAAAUCGGGCUGUCCAUCAGUGUAAAAAACUGGUGAAGAAAGGGCCGGGCAAGACCGGUGCCAGCCGCCGCGGUAAUACCGGCGGCUCGAGUGGUGGCCACUAUUAUUGGGCUUAAAGCGUCCGUAGCAGGGUUGUUAAGUCUCUUGGGAAAUCUACCGGCUCAACCGAUAGGCGUUCAGGGGAUACUGGCAACCUAGGGACCGGAAGAGGUGAGAGGUACUCCAGGGGUAGGAGUGAAAUCCUGUAAUCCUUGGGGGACCACCUGUGGCGAAGGCGUCUCACCAGGACGGCUCCGACUGUGAGGGGCGAAAGCUGGGGGAGCAAACCGGAUUAGAUACCCGGGUAGUCCCAGCUGUAAACGAUGCGCGUUAGGUGUAUCGGUGACCACGAGUCACCGAGGUGCCGAAGAGAAAUCGUGAAACGUGCCGCCUGGGAAGUACGGUCGCAAGGCUGAAACUUAAAGGAAUUGGCGGGGGAGCAC
rnacentral:rRNA from 1 species